rnacentral:rRNA from 1 species
UACGGGGGGGGCAAGCGUUGUUCGGAAUUACUGGGCGUAAAGGGCUCGUAGGCGGCCAACUAAGUCAGACGUGAAAUCCCUCGGCUUAACCGGGGAACUGCGUCUGAUACUGGUUGGCUUGAAUCCGGGAGAGGGAUGUGGAAUUCCAGGUGUAGCGGUGAAAUGCGUAGAUAUCUGGAGGAACACCGGUGGCGAAGGCGGCAUCCUGGGCCGGUAUUGACGCUGAGGAGCGAAAGCCAGGGGAGCAAAGCGGG